rnacentral:rRNA from 1 species
AUACGGAGGGUCCAAGCGUUAUCCGGAAUCAUUGGGUUUAAAGGGUCCGUAGGCGGACAAUUAAGUCAGAGGUGAAAGCCCACAGCUCAACUGUGGAACUGACUUUGAUACUGGUUGUCUUGAAUUAUAGUGAAGUAGAUAGAAUAUGUAGUGUAGCGGUGAAAUGCAUAGAUAUUACAUAGAAUACCGAUUGCGAAGGCAGUCUACUAACUAUAUAUUGACGCUGAUGGACGAAAGCGUGGGGAGCGAACAGGAUUAGAAACCCCAGUAGUCC